UUUUAAAAAUGAUUGAUACUGAGUCAAGUGGUUAACAACCUCUUUAAACGUGAUUCUUUUGCCAGCGUCACUUGCCCUUAGCUUUAUUAUACACUCGUAAUUAUGAUGUCGUACUCGUGAUCUUGAUUAUCAUAAAUGUGUCUAUAAGUUCAGUGAUACAUGCACUCAUAUGAAGAUAUAGCGAUGAAAGUGAUAUAGUAAUUGACAAAUAAUCGUCACUUUAUUCCUCAAAUCAAACUUGCGCAGUAAAAACCGUUUUGACUUCAAUUCUUGUAUCUUAAACUGCAUAAGCAAGUACCAUGGCAUCAGAUCAGAUUCGGUGUGAAAUGUGCUAUAACGAAAAUGCAGUUGGAUAUUGCAAAACCGGUGGUAACGUUGGAAAAACCUGUAUAGGUGUUCACAAGACUGAAAAGGUGUUUCAAACUCGCAAUGUCAGUUUGAAUGAGGACAGUAUUGAUACCCCAACGGUCACUAUGCGUGACAUCACCGCAGCAUCCGACAGAGAGAACGAUAUUUAUAUGUGAAAUUAAUGAUUCAAUGAUUUGUGGUAGAUGCUUUCAUUCAGAACAUCCUUCUUGCGUUGAAGACGUUGUUGACUUGUUGCAUGGAGAUAUACACAUUGACUGCAAUACAAUCAACUCAAUGAAGUCACUGUUCACUGAGUUGAAAGCUGAAAUUCGGUUUUUGAAAGACGAUGUGUGGACGAGUGUAUGGAAUUAGGAAAUAAAAUAAAACAAAGGGUAGAUGAAUUGACAAGAAACAAUUAAGACGGAAUAAGAGAGAAAUAUGAAGAAAAUGUGAACACCUAUUCCCAUAUUACUAAGACGUGUGGUGCGAAAACCAAGUGAUGUGACAAUGAGGAAAGUAACAUUGAUGAUUUUGUUGACAAUAAAAUGGCUGGGCGCUUGUACCUCGUGAGCAGACGAUUUGAGAGAGAGGUUUCGAACGCUUGAUCUCAACUCAUAGAAAUCAUACACAAACACACGUUUAAAGGGAUUGACUUUAAAGAAAACAAAGUACAUGUAAUUCUAAAAUGUGUGUUUGAGGACUUGGAGGAAGUUUGUGAACAACAAGAAGAAGUUACUGGAAGCGACGAUGCACAAGCCAACGACGUUGUCGCAUUCACCACAGGAAUAAACAAGACACGGCACGAGUUCAGUGCAUUGUUACAAAAGGCAAGAAAUGAAUUAGACGAAUCAGAAAAGACAAGACAGUCACUGCGUAAUGAGCUGAAACAAGUACAACAAGACCUGGAUUAUUCAGAAAAGACAAGACAGUAACUUCGUGAUGAGCUGAAACAAGUACAACAAUCCUUGGAUAAUUCAGAAAAGACAAGACAGUCAUUGCGUGAUGAGGAACAACGAAAGAAACACGACCUGGAUAAUUCAGAAAAGACACGGCGGGAGUUCACUGCAUUGUUGAUAAAGGCAAAAAAUGAAUUAGACGAAUCAGAAAGACAAUUAAAUCAAUGUGUGAUGACCUGAAUCAAGUGAAACAAUACCUGGAUAAUUUAGAAAAGAUGAGAAAGUCGCUGUGUGAUGAGCUACACCAAGUGAAGCAAGACCUGGAUAAUUCAGAAAAUACAAGACAGUCAUGGCAUGAUGAGCUGAAACAAGUGCAAUACUACCUGGCUAAAUCAGAAAUGGACCGAAUGGAUAUCGAAGAGGAGUUGAGAGGAACUAACGAAGCCUUGAAUCGAGUUCUAAGGGAAAGAGCAAUGAUCCUGUCGAAGUUUCCACAAAUUAGAGAACACUUGUACUGGACUCAACCCACAGUUGGGACAGUUAGGGUCGAGGCCAGCAGAGAAACAUCGGAUUAUGGCGAACCAUCUACAAUCUUUUUGGUUUUCACCUUCCCGGAUGGCAUUCAGAUGAGGCACUUUUUGGCCUCGGGAAAACAAUAUACAGGCGGCAGGUUCAGAGGACGCUUGAGUAGCGACCAUGAGGGCCAGCUGCUAUGUAGGAUGUUAAAGGCGGCGUUCAGAAGAGGGCUGAUGUUCAUCUUGGGGAAGAAAUGAGAAAUUGACCUGCAUGGCGUCUCAUUGUUUAAUGAUUCAGUGUAUAAUUGCCGCUAUAGUUUAAGUCCGGAUUACUAUGACUACGUACAGACAUUGCAAGUGGAACUGGCAGUCAAAGGCAUCACAAUGGCGGACAUAGAUCUGACGGAGAAGCUGGAAGAGAUUUUCAUUGUCGAUGUUCAUUUACAAUGUUUAAUUACUUCAUGUCCGAUGUCCCGCUGAGUUCUGUAAUGAUAUGAUAGCGAAGUUGACAGACAAGGGAAAACAGAGGCGCAUGUGAAACCUGACGGAAUCUUGAAACCAGUCGUUCUCGGUCGAUUUUCCGUAUACUGUCUAAGGUCAACUGUUGUGAAUAUUAUAUCUUCCAAUGAACUCGCGAUGAAAAUGAAAUUUGCGGGUUGUAUACACAGUAUAGUAUUAUCAGAUUGGUAUACUAAAUUAAGAUACAGUUAUUGUCUUAUGAUUUGUCCAUUUGUUUAAUAAUUUAAUUGAUUUUAUUUACGAACAGUUUAAUAUCGAUCAUGGGCCAUUUGCGCUUAAUUGAAUAUGUAUUAACAAGCGGAAGUAAUACCUAUAAUAGUUAUAAAACAGAGAAAAAUUUCAAAGCUGAUGUAUUUAGAAAAGUAUAUUGAAUUAUACAGAUACAGUUGUUAACAUUGUGAAAUAGAUAAACCUAUUUAUAAUUAUGCUCCGCCAUACAUGUAUUUAUAAGCUAUUGUAUUAUGUUAAUUUGAUCAAGGGUCAUAUUGGCCUAUUUCAAAUAUGUAGUGUGUUGUAUAUUGCUUUUGAAUAAACUUUCUUCUUCUUUUUCUAUACGAUGUCUGACGUAGUUGUUUUAAACAAUCUAAGGAUAUAAUUUGAAAUGUUAUCUACCUACUAUUUUAAUUUGUUGGGAUAUAUAUAUAUAUAUAUAAACGCUUAGAUACGGGUACUGUUACGUUGAAAGAGAAAUUGGAAGCCAUAAUUUGCUUUAGAAAACACAGUAAGCAUGAAUGUGCAUACAAUUUUAAUAAUAACAGCAAGUUAGAUUACAGUUUUUGUACAAUAGUUGUAUAAAUGUUACGUACUGUCAAUUAUUAUUUUUUAACCAAAACGUGUAUUUAUCUAGACCAGCAAAUUUUUCAAGAUAAUUAUUUUGAUUCGUGCGAAGCUCUGUGUGUAGUGUAAUAUGAUGUUGUUUGCAUCGGUCAGACUCAGUUAGGCUUCAUCCUUUUGAUUCUUAAAGCGUAAUUCGUCCUUUUGGUGUCAGCUUAAAUUCCGCUGUAGUUUUCCUAUGCAUUGUUAUGUGAUUAUAUAGUGCGUUAUGCUAUUAUUCUUUAUAACUAAUACUAUUUGGCUAUAACCGUGUUUCCUUGAGUGUUUUGUUACUAAUAUUUUGUCUUUUACAAAUAAUUAAAUCUAAUCAUAUCUUUUUAGAAUGUUAUAAUUGUCCAUGCGGUAUGUGUGCGUGUUCAUUUCAUUUAAAUAUGUUUUAAUGUUAUCAAAUAUGAAUAAAUAUAACAUUCCUGCGAAGAAGACGUAAAUACACACAAACAUAUCGGAAAUGCUUAGAUUGUCCUGCGUAGUAUGCUCAUAUUUAAAAAAAAUAUAACGUUUCGUGACAGGGAUACAAUGGAAUCUACAGUCACGUGAGAAGCAGUCAAUACCUCAACUAUGACAUUGUUCGAAGAUAGAAUAUAAAUAAACAUAGCACUACAAAACAGCACAUACAUUUGUUUACAAAAAUAUUUUUAUAUCAAUACAUGAUGGGUUCACAUCUGUUUAAAAUGUCAGUAAAAACGAGUUUACCUUUGAGCUCAGGCCAAAUUUUGAAUGCUUGACCAGAACGAUCCAUAACGUAAAGUGUCAGUAUGAAUAAUUUAUUACCGGACGUA